rnacentral:misc_RNA from 1 species
GAUGAAAGAACGCAGCGAAAUGCGAUAAGUAGUGUGAAUUGCAGAAUUCAGUGAAUCAUCGAAUCUUUGAACGCACAUUGCGCCCCUUGGUAUUCCAUGGGGCAUGCCUGUUCGAGCGUCAUUUGUACCUUCAAGCUCUGCUUGGUGUUGGGUGUUUGUCCUUGCUCUAGUGGCGGGACUCGCCUUAAAGUAAUUGGCAGCCAGUGUUUUGGUUUUGAAGCGCAGCACAAGUCGCGAUUCAAGUCUAUACGCUAGUUUCCACAAGUCUUUUAUCACUUUUGACCUCGGAUCAGGUAGGGAUACCCGCUGAACUUAAGCAUAUCAAUAAGCGGAGGA